AUUGAACGCUGGCGGCAGGCCUAACACAUGCAAGUCGAGCGGAUGAAGGGAGCUUGCUCCUGGAUUCAGCGGCGGACGGGUGAGUAAUGCCUAGGAAUCUGCCUGGUAGUGGGGGAUAACGUCCGGAAACGGGCGCUAAUACCGCAUACGUCCUGAGGGGGAAAGUGGGGGAUCUUCGGACCUCACGCUAUCAGAUGAGCCUAGGUCGGAUUAGCUAGUUGGUGGGGUAAAGGCCUACCAAGGCGACGAUCCGUAACUGGUCUGAGAGGAUGAUCAGUCACACUGGAACUGAGACACGGUCCAGACUCCUACGGGAGGCAGCAGUGGGGAAUAUUGGACAAUGGGCGAAAGCCUGAUCCAGCCAUGCCGCGGGUGUGAAGAAGGUCUUCGGAUUGUAAAGCACUUUAAGUUGGGAGGAAGGGCAGUAAGUUAAUACCUUGCUGUUUUGACGUUACCAACAGAAUAAGCACCGGCUAACUUCGU
rnacentral:rRNA from 1 species